CCGAAGUCUUUUUGAUUAGCGCUUUCAUCUUUCUCUCUAGGUCGUUGAUGCGAGUCCUAAUUCGCACAGCAAUAGGAGCCAACAAGGGUUCGGUAUAGAGAAUGAGAAAGUUAUACCCAUCGACAGCUUGUUGGAAAGACUAGAUAAGUAUACAGAAUGGUACAAUUUCUAAAGAAAGAAAGGGGAGUCUAUUUCAUUAAUAAAGAUCUUCUUUAUAUAAAAAGUAGUAGAAAUGAAAGUACAAGAUACUUUAAUUUCUGACCUCGCUUGGAGGAUCGGUCAAGCUUUAAGCAACCUUCGAUAGGCCAACGGGCCCUACAAUUGAAGGAGUUGGCGUCAGGGCAAGGAUGUCAGCAAUUGGAGAUGAGGAUACCUCAACAAUCGUCGGUUCUCCAUCCGAUCAUCCCUUGGCAACUGUGGGUUCAGAAAGGACGGGCUCCUCUGCAGCUUCUUCCUCAUCCUUAUCUUGGAAAGAGAGGUCCAUCUCAGGGAGUCGAGCAAUGAUCAGGCAUCGGCAAUCCUCAAAUCCACUCUCCAAGCCGGUAUUGUAGGCCUUUUAACCGAAUGCAACUUUCAUGUCUUUGAAUUCCUCAAAAAUUUUAAAUGCCUUCACCGCAAGACGGCCGACCUCAGCAACCCACUCGUCGGCACUCU
rnacentral:lncRNA from 1 species